rnacentral:rRNA from 1 species
AUUGAACGCUGGCGGCAUGCCUUACACAUGCAAGUCGAACGGCAGCACGGGAGCAAUCCUGGUGGCGAGUGGCGAACGGGUGAGUAAUAUAUCGGAACGUGCCCAGUCGUGGGGGAUAACGUAACGAAAGCUACGCUAAUACCGCAUACGAUCUAUGGAUGAAAGCGGGGGAUCGCAAGACCUCGCGCGAUUGGAGCGGCCGAUAUCAGAUUAGGUAGUUGGUGAGGUAAAGGCCCACCAAGCCGACGAUCUGUAGCUGGUCUGAGAGGACGACCAGCCACACUGGGACUGAGACACGGCCCAGACUCCUACGGGAGGCAGCAGUGGGGAAUUUUGGACAAUGGGCGCAAGCCUGAUCCAGCAAUGCCGCGUGCAGGAUGAAGGCCUUCGGGUUGUAAACUGCUUUUGUACGGAACGAAACGGCGAGCUCUAAUACAGUUUGCUAAUGACGGUACCGUAAGAAUAAGCACCGGCUAACUACGUGCCAGCCGCCGCGGUAA